UUGGAAUUAGGAAUGGAUCAACUGGAAAUCCAGGUUGGAAGAUACUUGGAAUUAGGAAUGGAUCAACUGUAAAUCCAGGUUGGGAGAUACUUGGAAUUAGGAACGGAUAAACUGUAAUCCAGGAAUCCUACAACCAGGAUUUCUGGAAACCUGGGAUUGUUGGGAAAGUUACCAGAAUUUUGCAACCCUACUUAUGCAUCUUAUAUCAUAGCUGUAGUCUUACCGACGGACCACUCUACAGGCAGAGUUUAGUGUUAUAAUUGUAUCAUCUUUCAAAUAGAUCAAUGUAGAUUUCAUCCAAGCAUUUAGAUUUCCUCCCUUUUCCAUAUAAAUGUAAUUCUGCCAAAAAUGUCUGUCACAGACUGGACCAUAUUGCAUUUUCUGGACCAUAUUCCUCCAAUACAAACUGCCAGACCACAUUGUCUAUUGCAAAGUGUUUUAGUCUUUAUUACAGCUUUUUAAAUGUACAAAACUUAGAUUUUAAGAAUGACAGCUAUUAUCUUAGAGAUGGGGCCUUGUAUCAGUUCAGGGUUGGUCACCAGUAGUGCUGUUGUUGGAUGCAUGAUGACACCUUCCGCUACAUUGGAGUCCAGUUUGCUGUGUGUUUAUAUUAAAGUGGAUAAAUGAUGCUUCUAACUUCCAGAAUCUUCCU
ensembl:lncRNA